ensembl:lncRNA
CAGGGCAUCAGCAAGGCACUGCUCACCAGAUUUAAGUAGUUCAGGCGGGAUCUCAUCCAGGCCUGCAGCCUUGCCAUUCUUGAUUACCCAGAUCACAUUUUUUGUUUCCACUACCGUGAUCGUGUCAAGGUUUACUGGCAGAUCGGGUGUAGGGUUUAAGAGGCUGCGAUCAAAUGCUGGGGUUUGCACUGACUGGUUUAGGACUUCCUUGAAAUGCCCAACCCACCGACGCUCGCAUUCUUCUUGAGUAGGAAGGGCCCUACCGUCCUGAUCUUUCAUCGGUGCGCUGCUUCUGGAUGGGGACUUGGAAAGCUCUCAAACGAUCGGAUAUAGGGUGCGUGUAUCAUUUCAAUUUGAAGCUUCUUGUGCCUCGGUCCCUUUCUGAUUGACCCACUCGCGCUUGUCAUGUCUGCAACUUGCUUCAACAUUGCUUUGCAUGCCACCAUUCAUCUAUCAAUGCCCAUGAUCGAGGUUGGAUCCAGUGUUCUCUGAAGGUGCCCCGUGGUAGCCUCUGCUGCGGUUGCCAGAGUGUCUCAAAACUGCUCCAGCAGGAAUCCAGGUCAUGUGUGGGGGCCAAUAGUUCGAAGCAAUUCCGGACUGCAACAUUGUACUGCUGCAAUACGACUGGGACUCGGAGUUGUACGAUAUCAAAAGGCCCUGACCACGGGCUGGCAAAUACCGUAAUCGAAAUCGGCAGGUUGCAAUGAGCAGGAAGUGGUCAGUAACCACCCUGCAGGCCCCCGGGACUUUCCGCGUUUUUGUGGAUCCACUUGUGUGGAAAGUAUGUAUUAGUGACCACAAGUCAUUGUACAGCACAAAUAGUCAGGAGUCGCAUACCAUUGUCAUUGGUUUUGGUCACUAAACCAUGGGGGCCAAUCACAUGAUCAAAUGCUUGCCUUUCCUUGCUGAUCUGGGCGUUAAGAUCGCCUGCAACGAUGACGAGGUCAUGGUGCAGGAUACAGUUGAGCUCAAGUAGUAAGUCGUCUUAGAAAGAGUCUUUAUCUGCAUCGGAGGCAUCAUCUGCUGGCGCAUAGACCUGAAUGAAAGUCAACUUCACAUGUAUGCCUUGCAGCAAUACGGAAAUGAUUCUGUCCGAGACAGGUCGCCAGGAUAGGACAAUCCCCACACCAUGGACAUGGUCACGGUUGUGGCUGGAGUAUAUAAAGGUCUUAUAAACUUCCCACUGGACGAGUGGGCCUCACCAAUGCCAAAGAUGGCAAGAUGAUAGUGAUUAAAUUCUCC